CAAUAGCGGAUAUUUAAGUUGUUGCAGUUAAAAAGCUCGUAGUUGGAUUUCGGGUGGGACGCAGCGGUCUCGCAUUGCGUUUGUACUGCUGCAGCCCUCCUUCUUGCCGGGGGCGGCCUCUCGGACUUCACUGUCUGGGGGUCAGAAUCGGCGAUGUUACUUUGAGUAAAUUAGAGUGUUCAAAGCAAGCUUACGCUCUGAAUAUAAUAGCAUGGGAUAACACGACAGGACUCUGGCCUAUCGUGUUGGUCUAUAGGACCAGAGUAAUGAUUAAGAGGGACAGUCGGGGGCAUUCGUAUUCCGUUGUCAGAGGUGAAAUUCUUGGAUUUACGGAAGACGAACAUCUGCGAAAGCAUUUGCCAAGGAUGUUUUCAUUGA
rnacentral:rRNA from 1 species